UAUUUAUUUAUUUAUUAAAAUUUUUAUUUUAUUUUAUUUAUGAUAGGCACACAGUGAGAGAGAGAGAGGCAGAGACACAGGCAGAGGGAGAAGCAGGCUCCAUGCACCAGGAGCCCAACGUGGGAUUUGAUCCCAGGUCUCCAGGAUCGCACCCUGGGCCAAAGGCAGGCACUAAACCACUGCGCCACCCAGGGAUCCCUGAAUCCAGCUUCUCUCAGAGAUGAGGCUUCUACUGGUUGUUGCUUUCAGGUACCUUGAAGAAAUCAUUCUUUCCAACAUCACAUAAAAGAUGAAAUUCAUGUUCCAAUUUGACAGUGAUGGAAGAGAAUGGUUAAUUAUUUUUAUGUAUUUAACUUUAGAGUUAUUACUCUAUUAUAAAAUCACCUAAAUAAAAAUUCUUUAUUCUUUCAAGAAGAAAAAUCUAUGGUGUUUUUUGUUGUUGUUGUUUUAUAAAUUAAAGUGUGGUUUGAAAAAUAAAG
rnacentral:lncRNA from 1 species